CCGUUCUUUCCUGUUGGUCAUGGCGACGUUGCACGGUGUUUCUCUGCGCGAGCGCGCUGCUGUUACUCGUUUAAAGACUUCUUCCUAAGGAGCGCUAUGAUGGCUCUUUUGUGCACUGCUGCUCCAGGCUUAUGUCUGUGACUCUGGAUCACUGUACUGAUGCACCCCAGAUGUUAAGAGAUUCCAAGAUGUGCAGUCUGGUCCUGCAAAGUUGAAAGUCUGAAAGCAUUGUGGGCCUUGAGCUGUAGCGUAGGAUGGCGUAUGGUGUUGUGCAGUAGCUGUAAAAGGAACAUGGUUGACCUUUGAGAUGGCUGCCUUGCCACAGUGAAGACAAGAUAAUUUUGUGAAAGAUCAAGGAAGAGCAACCUUUGCAAGAAGUGUUUGCUCACUGUAAUUCAGGCCCUCGGGAUAACACUUGGGUUUGGAUGCAGGAGUUCCUCUAUUUAUUGCAUGUAAAGAUAUUUAAACUGAAAUAAACUCAAACAUUGAAAUUCA